rnacentral:rRNA from 1 species
UACGGGGGGGGCAAGCGUUGUUCGGAAUUACUGGGCGUAAAGGGCUCGUAGGCGGCUAACUAAGUCGGACGUGAAAUCCCUCGGCUUAACCGGGGAACUGCGUCCGAUACUGGUUGGCUUGAGUUUGGGAGAGGGAUGCGGAAUUCCAGGUGUAGCGGUGAAAUGCGUAGAUAUCUGGAGGAACACCGGUGGCGAAGGCGACAUCCUGGACCGGUAUUGACGCUGAGGCGCGAAAGCCAGGGGAGCAAACGGG